AGCAGCCGCGGUAAUUCCAGCUCCAAUAGCGUAUAUUAAAGUUGUUGCAGUUAAAAAGCUCGUAGUUGAAUUUCGGGGUUAGUAGGUUGGUCAUGCCUCUGGUAUGUACUGGUCUCACUGAUUCCUCCUUCCUGAUGAACCUUAAUGCCAUUAAUUUGGUGUUUUGGGGAAUUUGGACCGUUACUUUGAAAAAAUUAGAGUGUUUAAAGCAAGCUAACGCUUGAAUACAUUAGCAUGGAAUAAUGAAAUAGGACGUUCGAUCCUAUUUUGUUGGUUUCUAGGAUUGACGUAAUGAUUAAUAGGGAUAGUUGGAGGCAUUAGUAUUCAAUUGUCAGAGGUGAAAUUCUUGGAUUUAUUGAAGACUAACUACUGCGAAAGCAUUUGCCAAGGAUGUUUUCAUUAAUCAAGAACGAAAGUUAGGGGAUCGAAGACGAUCAGACACCGUCGUAGUCUUAACCAUAAACUAUGCCGACUAGGGAUCGGAUGAUGUUAAUUUUUUAAUGACUCAUUCGGCGCCUUA
rnacentral:rRNA from 1 species